GGUUCCCUAGUGCAGCGGUCAGCACGCCUGCCUUACAAGCAGAGAGUCCUACGUUCGAUUCCCAGGGGAAUCA